GACGAACGCUGGCGGCGUGCCUAAUACAUGCAAGUCGAACGCUUCUUUCCUCCCGAGUGCUUGCACUCAAUUGGAAAGAGGAGUGGCGGACGGGUGAGUAACACGUGGGUAACCUUCCCAUCAGAGGGGGAUAACACUUGGAAACAGGUGCUAAUACCGCAUAACAGUUUAUGCCGCAUGGCAUAAGAGUGAAAGGCGCUUUCGGGGGUCGCUGAUGGAUGGACCCGCGGUGCAUUAGCUAGUUGGUGAGGUAACGGCUCACCAAGGCCACGAUGCAUAGACGAACUGAGAGGCUGAUCGGCCACACUGGGACUGAGACACGGCCCAGACUCCUACGGGAGGCAGCAGUAGGGAAUCUUCGGCAAUGGACGAAAGUCUGACCGAGCAACGCCGCGUGAGUGAAGAAGGUUUUCGGAUCGUAAAACUCUGUUGUUAGAGAAGAACAAGGACGUUAGUAACUGAACGUCCCCUGACGGUAUCUAACCAGAAAGACACGGCUAACUACGUG
rnacentral:rRNA from 1 species